AACGAACGCUGGCGGCAUGCCUAACACAUGCAAGUCGAACGAAGCCUUCGGGCUUAGUGGCGCACGGGUGCGUAACGCGUGGGAAUCUGCCCUUGGGUUCGGAAUAACAGUUAGAAAUGACUGCUAAUACCGAAUGAUGUCUUCGGACCAAAGAUUUAUCGCCCGAGGAUGAGCCCGCGUCGGAUUAGCUAGUUGGUGAGGUAAAGGCUCACCAAGGCGACGAUCCGUAGCUGGUCUGAGAGGAUGAUCAGCCACACUGGGACUGAGACACGGCCCAGACUCCUACGGGAGGCAGCAGUGGGAAUAUUGGACAAUGGCGAAAGCCUGAUCCAGCAAUGCCGCGUGAGUGAUGAAGGCCUUAGGGUUGUAAAGCUCUUUUACCCGGGAUGAUAAUGACAGUACCGGGAGAAUAAGCCCCGGCUAAACUCCGUGCCAGCAGCCGCGGUAAU
rnacentral:rRNA from 1 species